rfam:Felis catus isolate Cinnamon breed Abyssinian chromosome A1, whole genome shotgun sequence.
GCCUGGGUGGCUCAGUCAGUUGAGCGUCCGACUUCCGCCCAGGUCAUGAUCUCACAGUUCGUGAGUUCGAGUCCCACAUCAGGCU